rnacentral:lncRNA from 1 species
UGUGCCGUAACACUGUUUCUUUCGCGGACAUCCAUCCAGCUUGAGCUUGAGCUUACCUAAAACCUCUCUGUGAUUUCUCUCAGGAAAAGGAGAGCUGCCAUGCAUGCCUGCCGUUGCGUUGAUGGCGCAUUCAACCGCUUGCUGGGUGGCUUUAUGAUUUGCAGGGCAGGUGGGGGGAUUGAAUCGCACUGGCAUGUUUUAACUUCACCAUUACUCAUGUCGGCUGACCAUGUCUUUGAAUUAUUGUUGUUCGGACGGGUGUGGUGUUCAUCGUAGCGCCUGGUGUUAAUGUUGUUCGCUUCUCCUGAGAGUAAUUUAAUUAUGUUUUGCAGUGUUCUAUUGUGAUUACCGUACUCGGAUUACGUAAACAUGGUCCAACAUGGACUUAAUGCUCCAUUAUCACAACCGUUGCAGUGUAUUAUUGAUAGGCCUCCCGUAAAAGAAAAAGUAUUAUUGAUAGGCCAUCAUGCUAUAUACGUACGACACGGCAUGCACUGGCAGAUACAUGCAAAUACAUAAAGCACCCAGAGAGAAGAAUUACAUACGGGGACUAGAGCAAAUCCAUUGCCCGGGAUACAAAUGGGAACUACAUCAAAUCAAUCUCGCUGGAUACAUAUGGGGGCUAGAGCAAAUCCACUAGACCGGGGGGAGAUUCAGAGCUUGUGCAUGCAGAUAAUGGCCAUGAGCAGCAGGUUCACGACACCGAGGAUGAACACAUGGUUGUGAGCGGGGCGGGUGGCAAGCUAAGAGAGAUGAAGAAGCAGAAGUGAGAAUAUGGUUUGAGCGAGCAAGCAUGGGGUUUAAAAGGACCGCGAUGAGCGUCACUGAGAUGCGUG